CUACGGGUUGCACCAGUGGGGAAUAUUGCACAAUGGGGGGAACCCUGAUGCAGCAACGCCGCGUGGAGGAUGACACAUUUCGGUGCGUAAACUCCUUUUAUAUAAGAAGAUAAUGACGGUAUUAUAUGAAUAAGCACCGGCUAACUCCGUGCCAGCAGCCGCGGUAAUACGGGGGGUGCAAGCGUUACUCGGAAUCACUGGGCGUAAAGAGCAUGUAGGCUGGUUAGUAAGUUGGAAGUGAAAUCCUAUGGCUUAACCAUAGAACUGCUUCCAAAACUACUAACCUAGAAUAUGGGAGAGGUAGAUGGAAUUUCUGGUGUAGGGGUAAAAUCCGUAGAGAUCAGAAGGAAUACCGAUUGCGAAGGCGAUCUACUGGAACAUUAUUGACGCUCAGAUGCGAAAGCGUGGGGAGCAAACAGGAUUAGAUACCCUAGUAGUC
rnacentral:rRNA from 1 species